UACGUAGGGACCGAGCGUUGUCCGGAUUCAUUGGGCGUAAAGAGCUCGUAGGCGGCUGUUCAAGUCGAACGUGAAAACUCGGAGCUCAACUCCGAGCCUGCGUUCGAUACUGGACGGCUAGAGUCUGGUAGGGGGAUCUGGAAUUCCUGGUGUAGCGGUGGAAUGCGCAGAUAUCAGGAGGAACACCGGUGGCGAAGGCGGAUCUCUGGGCCUUACCUGACGCUGAGGCGCGAAAGCUAGGGGAGCGAACGGG
rnacentral:rRNA from 1 species